AAACAAAAUUUUUUUUUUAGGCCUAAAUACCAUUUUUUAUAUACGUUAUGAUUUAAUUGCUUGCGUAGGCGGCAUUGUGGGAACGAGGGCGGGACGCGCGGUUUUUUUCCAUUGCUGUGGUGGAUUUUUGGAAGGUGUUUAUUUUUGUAGGUUAUUUGUUUGGAGGCAGUUGGUUUUUGUUUGGAGAUGGUUUGCUUUUGUUCUUUUUAGGUUGCAUGUUGACUGCAACAGACUACUAACACAGGUGUUGGAUGCCACAGCUGACACUGCUCUAAAGGUAAUAGACACAUAUUUUAUAUACCAUUUAUCCUCUGACAGUUUAAUAAAAACUGGUAUUAUAAUAUAUAAAACAUUGCAGUUUUAACUUUUAACAGUAUAAUUUAUGUACAUCUUAAUAUCUAUAAUUUCGGUUGUAUAAGGUGUUUUUUUAUUGAUUAUUUCAAUAUUCCUCUUUCUUGCUGUUCCCCCAAAAUGUGAAAACUAGGAUAAGUAUUAGCUCACCUGUCACAUCGUCACCUCAACGCAACGGUCAUAUCUUGCUAUAAAUUUAUAAUAAGAUACAACUUUGUUGCGUUGAGGUGACGACAUAGUGACAAGAUGAGCUUUUGUGACCACCCUUCGUCCGACGUCCUCUGGAUAGGGAACUCUGCAAUUGCAGAGCCAUUCUUAGGUGGCCUUUUCUCUUUCAGCUAGAUAGGGAACUAAAUUGUGUAGAUAGGGCAGAUCUCUCAAGCAUUUGUAGCCUGUAACUGUGCAGCCGGAUAAUGCCUCUCAUAUUGAAAGGCAUUUGAAGCCUGAAGUAUACAGCCGGAUAAUGCCACUCCUAUGGAAAGCAUUUGAAGUAUUUGUGUAGAUAGGGAAGAUCUCUCAAGUAUAAGGUUAUGUAAGUAUGCAGGCGGAUAAUGCGUCUCCUUUGGAAAGGCAUUUGAAGUCUGUAACUAUGCAGCCAGAUAAUGCAUCUCCUAUGGAAAGGCAUUUGUAGCCUGUAACUGUGCAGCCGGAUAAUGCCUCUCAUAUUGAAAGGCAUUUGAAGCCUGAAGUAUACAGCCGGAUAAUGCCACUCCUAUGGAAAGCAUUUGAAGUAUGUAAGUAUGCAGCUUGAUAAUGUCUCUCCUAUGGAAAACCAUUCGAAGUCUGCUAAAAAUAAUAUAACUAGUCUUUAGAAUCAGAUGGGUGGUAUCAAGGACAGUAAGUAAUUGCAAGUUGUGAAAGAGGACCAGGACAUUACAUCGACCAGACCAGGCUCACAUUUUGAGGGACAGUGAAAAUUGUUUAAGCUAAAUCUCUUAAGCUACUGAGUGUUAAAUUCUUUUUCUGAAUGAAAAUUGAGUUGUCUUUUGCAACCGGAAUUACAGAGAUAAUGUUUUUAUUGCAAUAUUUUUAUGUUUGUGUUGUAUAGAUUUUUUUUCUAUUUUCAGAGUGAUCUGCAGUUGGGAGAGCUGAUGGUGUUGCAGUUUUGUACAUAUUUUGUUAUGACAUGUUUUAAAAUCUGAAUAAAAUGAAUAAAUACCAUUUUUUAUAUAUGUUAUGAUUUAAUUGCGUGCGUAGGCAGCAUUGUGGGAACGAGGGCGGGACGCGCGGUUUUUUGGAAGGUGUUUUUUUUGUAGGUUAUUUGUUUGGAGAUGGUUUGCUUUUGUUCAGAGGUGGGAUAUUCGGAUGAUUUCUUUUCAGAUAAAUGAAGCUGUGAAUUCAGCAAACAAAUAGAUUUUCUAAGCAUGAUAUAAUUAGACAUGUUUGUAAAUUUUACCAUGUUUUUGUGUUACUGCUUUUUAGGUUGCAUGUUGACUGCAACAGACUACUAACACAGGUGUCGGAUGCCACAGCUGACACUGCUCUAAAGAGUGAUCUGCAGUUGGGAGAGCUGAUAGUUUGUUUUCUGUUUUGUACAUAUCUUAAUGUUAUGACAUGUUUUAAAAUCUGAAUAAAUACCAUUUUUUAUAUACGUUAUGAUUUAAUUGCUUGCGUAGGCGGCAUUGUGGGAACGAGGGCGGGACGCGCGGUUUUUUUUCCAUUGCUGUGGUGGAUUUUUGGAAGGUGUUUAUUUUUGUAGGUUAUUUGUUUGGAGGCAGUUGGUUUUUGUUUGGAGAUGGUUUGCUUUUGUUCUUUUUAGGUUGCAUGUUGACUGCAACAGACUACUAACACAGGUGUUGGAUGCCACAGCUGACACUGCUCUAAAGGUUGCAUGUUGAUUGCAACAGACUACUAACACAGGUGUUGGAUGCCACAGCUGACACUGCUC
rnacentral:lncRNA from 1 species